UACGGGGGGGGCAAGCGUUGUUCGGAAUUACUGGGCGUAAAGGGUCUGUAGGUGGCUUGCUAAGUCAGACGUGAAAUCCCCGGGCUCAACCCGGGAACUGCGUCCGAUACUGGAAGGCUUGAAUCCGGGAGAGGGAUGCGGAAUUCCAGGUGUAGCGGUGAAAUGCGUAGAUAUCAGGAGGAAUACCGGUGGCGAAAGCGACUCUCUGGACGGCAACUGACGCUGAGGCACGAAAGCGUGGGGAGCAAACAGG
rnacentral:rRNA from 1 species